rnacentral:rRNA from 1 species
CCUACGGGGUGCUGCAGUGGGGAAUUUUGCGCAAUGCUCGUAAGAGUGACGCAGCGACGCCGCGUGAAUGACGAAGGCCUUCGGGUCGUAAAGUUCUUUCGACAGGGAAGAAAAUGCCUAUAAUUCACUGUGUCUGUAUUGACGGUACCUGUAUAAGCAGCCCCGGCUAACUCCGUGCCAGCAGCCGCGGUAAUCCGGAGGGGGCGAGCGUUGUUCGGGGUGACUGUGCGUAAAGAGCACGUAGGCGGUGGUGUAAGUCAUUAGUCAAAGACUCGAUCUCAAAGUUUGUAAGGCUAGUGAUACUAUAAUGAUAGAGUAUGAGAGAGGAUGGCAGAAUGCCUGGUGUAGCGGUGAAAUGCGUAGAUAUCAGGAGGAAUACCGUUAGCGAAGGCGGCAAUCUGGCUGGAAACUGACGCUGAGGGGCGAAAGCGUGGGUAGCAAACAGGAUUAGAUACCCCUGUAGUC